ACUGGAGUGAAUGUGUUUUCUAUGGGUGACGUCACACUCAUUAUGGUCUCAAAUAGACCUGAAGAGCUGUGAGUCGUCGGCAUAGAAACGCUAAGAUAUGAGGAAACGCUCAGAAAUCUGGUCCUUUUGUUUAUUUGUGCCGGGACGUUUUAUGAUCUAAAAUGCUGAAAUGCUGCGUUCAAGUCGUGUUGAAAUAAUCAGAAAAAUGACCUGGAAAUCAAUGAAUAUCAGAAAAACAACAAAUCUUUAAACACUACAUGAAUGCUGAAUAACUAUGCCCUGAAUUUAUUUGUAGCGCGCCAUCUAUAGGGAGACUUCUGAACUACAGAGAAAAUAAAACAACCAACCUGCCAUUGAAGCUCCUUAUUGGCUAAACACACCUGGUCCAGGUAGUCAGCAGCAGAAAAGGGAGGAUUUUGAGGCAGUUUAAGAUGGACAGAAUAUUCUUAACAACAUCCUCUGGUUUCCAGAAGUGUGCAGUCAUUUGAGGUUCAUCUUCUGUGUUUUAGAUUCUUCAAGUCGAGAUCCCCUACAGGCAGAGAUUGAUUUUGAGGUCAUAUGGGAAUGGCGCCUGGAAGGCAAAGCUCAGGGCAAAAGUGACAUGAAACUGUGAGUGAGGGAAACGGAUGUUAGACUGAACACAAACUCACCUUUAAAUCCCCCCAUGGAUGUCCGUGCUGCAGCCUGUCUGCCUGCAGGCCGCGCCGUACGCCGCUCGUGCGCAGUCAGUGCAGAAACUAAACCGCCACCAGUCAUUGGCCCGUCUGUGGUUUUGAUGCUCUGAAUGGAAGAGCGGCAACUGAAUCUGCAGCUUGUUGAUCGUCGCCUUCAUCAACAUAGCAGAUUUAUCUGCUGCAAAUAUCAAGUUAUGAUGUGAUGGAAUCUGGAUCAUCAAUCAGCAAAAGUUAAGCUUUAAAAACAACGAUCAGUCAUAAAGUUUGAAGGUUUUUUUGUUCCAUCAGCCUGAUAUAGUUUCCCUCCAAUGAAGAGGUAAACCUGGGAGUUGAGGUUAGAAGGUUGUAAAUCAUUUUAAACCUCUGAGCUCGUCAUUCAAAUAUGAAAAAACUGAAAAGAGAAGUGUUUAUAUUUGUGUUUAUAACUGCUACAUUAAAGCACAGCUGAAGAAA